CAUGAUUAAUCCAUUGGAGGAGCAAGGAUGCCUAAAGGCAAGUUUAGUCCUCAAAAAGAUAGGGCUCCUUAUGUUAACAAAUUGCCUGAAUCGGUAGGAGGCAAGACCCAAUGGGUUAAGGAAUUGGCUUGUAUUGUAAGAUUAUGUUGCAUACUGUUCCUCUGAGAAUGUUUUUUCAUGUAUUGGCUUCUGCGCGAGCAUAAAAGUUUAUGUACACUUGCUAUACCUACC